AUGGGCAAUGGCAUCUCCAAAAACACAUGCUUCUCUGGCGAAACCUAUGCACCGGCUGUCUCAUCGGACCCGGUACCCAACGACAUCCAUGGACAGUCCUUCAAGUACGUGCCAAUAGUCGUCGCCUUCGACAAGUCCCCAAUGGCUAAUAUGCUCUCAUCAAAAACACCCUUCUUAUCUUUAUUCGGAGCGGCCAUCAACGCCAACCAAGCGACAUCAUCAUCAAUACCGUCGUUCCGCCUACUUAAUGAGUUGAUGGUACCGCAAUCAUCUGUGUGCACUGUUAAGAGCUCGUGCUCCUCCGCCGCUGCACCGGUCCAGGACCAACCAACUAGGUUGUCCUUUUCUGGCCACUUCUUGGAUUCAUCCGGCACCGUAUCCACUAUCUCCAACCAGCUGUCAAGGCGGCCCUUCAUGUCAGGUAUGCUAGACCACUCCUUCUCAUCGUCCUCCUCCUUUUUUAGUCACCGGGACAGUGUUUCUCAUCCCAUGAAUGAACACGACGCCAUAGGCUCUCAGUGUUGCAAUGAGCAACCCCUUGAAAAAUCCUUAGCCACAGCCGGCUCUAGGCUCGAUUUUAGUGUGCCACGCAACAACCUCCUAUCAAAGGGUCCUACUGAGGUGUCAAAUAUGGAUUCCUUAGGCGAUGGGGAUCACCGCUCGCCACCAAGCGACAAUGUGCAGUGGGCUCAAGGCAUGGCUGGCGAGGACCGCUUCCAGGUGGCGGUCUCAGAGGAGUGUGGGUGGGUGUUCGUGGGGAUUUACGACGGCUUCCUCGGUCCUGAUGCGACCGACUACCUCUUUGCGAACCUCCACGUUGCCGUGAACCACACACUCAAGGGUGUGCUCUCGGACAACAUCCAAUGCAAUGAGCCAACAACCAAUUCUGAUAAUCUCUUUUGCCUGAAUGGAGGCAUCCAUAGCCCAGAAUUUGAACGUAAGCCGGCGAAGAGGGGUCGGACAGAACAUCCGGAGAAGAACAAUUCUGCCAUGUCUGGGGGCAGCCCAACGAUCCACCAGAGAGUCCUCAGGGCGCUGGGUCAGGCGCUGAGGGAGACGGAGGAGGCAUUUUUAGCAGCGGAGGAGGGCGCGGCUGACAACCCGGAGAUUGGGCUGAUGGGGUCAUGCGUGCUAGUGAUGCUGAUGAAGGGCGAGAACGUGUAUGUGAUGAACGUCGGGAACAGUCGUGCCGUGUUGGCGAGGAGGCCGUGGCCCAAUCUUAAUAACAUCCUCGGCAAGGCGACAGAGAAGGAUUUGCAGCAGUUGAAGGCCGAGAUCAUGGAUGGCCUACAGCCCGUGCAGCUCAACGCUGAACACAGUACCUCCAUUGAGGAGGAGGUGAAGAGGAUCAAGGCCGAACAUAAUGAUAGCAACGCCAUCAUCCACGGCAGAGUGAAGGGGAAACUCAACAUCACCAGAGCAUUCGGGGCUGGCUACUUGAAGGAGCCAAAGUGGAACAGUAUGUUGUUAGCGUCCUUCAAGAUUGAUUACAUCGGCAAGGACCCCUACAUCAAUUGCAUCCCAUCACUGCACCACCACUGUAUCGGUCCAAACGACAAGUUCCUGGUGUUGUCGUCUGACGGGCUCUAUCAGUAUUUCACCAACAAAGAGGUGGUUGAUGAGGCAGAGAUGUUCACAACUGUGUAUCCCAAGGGCAAUCCUGCUGAGCAUCUCAUCAAAGAAGUGUUACUUCGGGCUGCAAGGAAGGCCGGUAUGGACUACCAUGAACUGCUCAAGAUAUCCCAUGACGAAAGGAGAAAGUACCAUGAUGAUAUUUCUGUCAUGGUGAUCUCGUUCAAGGGGAGGAUGGGGAGAUCCUCCGUUUAG
rnacentral:rRNA from 1 species